AUUGAACGCUGGCGGCAUGCCUUACACAUGCAAGUCGAACGGCAGCACGGGAGCAAUCCUGGUGGCGAGUGGCGAACGGGUGAGUAAAGUAUCGGAACGUGCCCAGUCGUGGGGGAUAACGUAGCGAAAGUUACGCUAAUACCGCAUACGAUCUAUGGAUGAAAGCGGGGGAUCGCAAGACCUCGCGCGAUUGGAGCGGCCGAUAUCAGAUUAGGUAGUUGGUGGGGUAAAGGCGCACCAAGCCGAAGAUCUGUAGCUGGUCUGAGAGGACGACCAGCCACACUGGGACUGAAACACGGCCCAGACUCCUACGGGAGGCAGCAGUGGGGAAUUUUGGAAAAUGGGCGAAAGCCUGAUCCAGCCAUGCCGCGUGCAGGAUGAAGGCCUUCGGGUUGUAAACUGCUUUUGUACGGAACGAAAAGGUUUGGCCUAAUAAGCUGAGCUCAUGACGGUACCGUAAGAAUAAGCACCGGCUAACUACGUGCCAGCAGCCGCAAUAA
rnacentral:rRNA from 1 species